AGCCCCGUAGUGUAGCGGUCAAUCAUCUCCGGUUCUGGGCCAGAGGACCCCGGUUCAAAUCCGGGCGGGGCUA
rnacentral:tRNA from 2 species